CGGCGGACGGGUGAGUAACGCGUGGGUAACCUGCCUCAUACAGGGGGAUAACAGUUAGAAAUGACUGCUAAUACCGCAUAAGACCACAGCACCGCAUGGUGCGGGGGUAAAAACUCCGGUGGUAUGAGAUGGACCCGCGUCUGAUUAGCUAGUUGGUAAGGUAACGGCUUACCAAGGCGACGAUCAGCAGCCGACCUGAGAGGGUGACCGGCCACAUUGGGACUGAGACACGGCCCAA
rnacentral:rRNA from 1 species